rnacentral:lncRNA from 1 species
GCUUCCAUUUUCCAUGAAUUCAUAUAAGAGUAAACCAUAUUCCUCAUGAAUUAGACAAGAGCUUGAAGAAUAAAUCAGAAUUUCCUGCUUAUAUCUUUCAGUAUCACACCACGUGGAAUCAGAAGAAUGAAUCGUGAAGGAGAAGAACCAAAAUCGAAGAGAAACAAGACGAUAGUGAUCAGAAUUAAAAUCAGAUUUAU